AGUGAACGCUGGCGGCGUGCUUAACACAUGCAAGUCGAACGAGAACGGAUUAUAGCUUGCUAUAAUUGUCAGCUAAGUGGCGCACGGGUGAGUAAUGUAUAGGUAAUAUGCCUCUUACUAAGGGAUAACAAAUGGAAACGUUUGCUAAUACCUUAUACUCCUUAUUAACAGAAGUUAAUAAGGGAAAGAUUUAUUGGUAAGAGAUUAGCCUGUAUUGUAUCAGUUAGUUGGUGGGGUAAUGGCUUACCAAGACUAUGACACAUAACUGGUUUGAGAGGAUGAUCAGUCACACUGGAACUGAGACACGGUCCAGACUCCUACGGGAGGCAGCAGUGGGGAAUAUUGCACAAUGGACGAAAGUCUGAUGCAGCAACGCCGCGUGGAGGAUGACACAUUUCGGUGCGUAAACUCCUUUUAUAUGAGAAGAUAAUGACGGUAUUAUAUGAAUAAGCACCGGCUAACUCCGCGCCAGCCGCCGAGUAACAC
rnacentral:rRNA from 1 species